UGUACAAGUUGGCCACCUGUGCAGAAUACAGGGUUGUGGCAGAGAUAUUUGGUGUCAGCGAGACAACCGUCCACCGCUGUGUAUACGCGGUGUGCAGGGCCAUACGAUUCAAGCUGUUGAACCAAUUCGUCAAUUUAACCGAAGUGGCUGAGGCACAGGCUAUAGCGCGCCGCAACUCCACUACGCACCUUGUCCCACAAGUGUCCCACUGGAUGGGACCCGUAUCCCGAUCCUUCCCCCAUCCGAUGGAUAAUGGGACUAUAGUCAUGUGAGUCAUGUUCACUACGUCACAACUUAUUCGGCAAAGCUAUCACAUUCUCUUUUUCAAAAAAGCUAAAACCCACCUCAGGCGAGGGUAAAAACUUUUUUUUUUGCGAAUUUGAGGACGUUUUUCUCGAAUUUUGCCGUUUCCAUCAGCAUUUUCUAAUGCGAUACUUAAAAAUGCGCAUUAAAAAUACGUUGAUGGAAACAUGAACUAGUGACGGCCAGGUUCUGUAGAUCGUGCCUCCCUUUUCCUGCCCUUUCACACACAGAAGGUGUGGUAUCAAAAACGUGUGAUUCACCAGACAAACAGGUACUGGUUUAAGGGGCCAUCGCCAUCACCUCCCCCUUCCAGUCUUACUGGUAGAUAGAGGCUCACUCCCCUGUAAACCAUCCUGUGGACCGACUCGUGAAGCGCAUCGGUGGAGCUGAAUGUACCUCAUGUGUCCCAGAAUGUCCUCAGAGACUCGGUGAAGUGUGACGACGUGAGUUGGUGUUUUUUUUGGGGGAGGUUUGUCUUCCCAAAAGGCAUCCUAUCAAUGAGGAAUGAACUGCCUGAAGCCACUGGAUCCCUCUUGUGGAAGUAUCACUGCAGUCUCUAGAAAUGUUGGUCGAUACCCGAAGAAGAUCAGAAAACAAUGGAAAUCACAGUCAUUUUAAUUAUUGCGUGCGUAUGUAUAUUAUGAGCGAGUGCUGGAGGAGUGUAUAUAUAAUAAUUCUGUCUUGUAAAUCAGCAGUUUUAAUCCACGAGGCCCGACAGUUGGGUCAGAUGUCGGAUCUGGAUCUCAAAUCUCCCACCACCAGGCUGAGGGGGAGGUGAGGAUGUGAGGUUAUUGAACAGCCUGAGAGGGGCAUACGUCUAUAAACACUGCCGCUGCCUUCAAGAGCUGCCAACGUAUAUAAAAUGGUGUUGAACCAGUCUGGCUUUCACUGGAAGAGACGCAGUGUUCUAUCGUGGCCUGGCUGCUGUUUCACCCUUUCUUACCCCGACAUGAAUAAAAAAAAAUCUGGCUAAAACAUACAUUAAGGUAUUAUCGGCUUAAAAUACUGUAUCUCCAAUAUGCAGCUUUGACUUUACCAUUUUUAUCAGUAACAGCCUUAAAAAAAAACAAAAAAAAACAUGCCAAUCAAAAUGUAGUUUGUAGGUUUUAAUUGCAUCUGUGCAGGUGUUGGAUGAUAAGCAUGGCGUCGAUUAGAGACGAGGUCAUGAGUGAACUGAGCUGCUGGGUUGUUUGGAGCGAAAUGGAGUUUCACUUUUAGUUAACAGAUUAGAUCUUUUACAUGGAUCACAGAGGGCAGUAAACUCUACAGAAGCACAGCUGUCACAGUUAAAAAAAUUGUCUCAGGAUCUUGUUAUAAUGGCAGUUUUCUUAAUCAAGGAGAAUGACUAACCGCAUUUACAAGGACCCAAGUUUAAUAACCACAAUAAGAGCUCAAUCGGUAUAAAAAACAACAACAUUUCAACAGGCUUAUUCCAAAAGAAACUUCAUUCUGUUUUCUGUUUGGGUUAAAGCUGUCGAAGACCACUAAGUCCCGAAAGAUGCGAGUUCUCUUGUGCAAACGAGAUGAGAUAGAUAAUGAAAAGCUAACACAAUUCAGCCUCAGGGGAACAUGAAUUUCGGUGCCAAAUUUCAUGGGAAUCAUCUAGUAAUUUCGCUCGUAACCACAAAUGUCAACCUCGUGGUGGCACUAUAGGAAAGUCAGAGGAUCACCAAAGUCAUUAGGAUUCAUCCUCUGGGGAACAUGAACGUAUGUACAAAAUUGUAUGGCAAUCCAUCCAAUAGUUGUUGAGAUAUUUCAGACCAAAUAGGUGGACUGAAUGACAUCUUUUAAAAAUAUCUUUAGGGCUUUUGGGGCCACAAAACUUUACAACAACUCUCAAAAUAAUUUGUUUUCCUCUUACUGUGAGAUGCUUUGUCAUUAUAACAAGAUACUUGACUGGGAAGUUGAAGCGUGUACUUGUGGCCACACCUCAGAGCAGCUGUGAAGUAGUUUUCUGUCCGCUGUGAUUCACUGAUGUAGUUUCACAGCAGGUGUUCAGUGUUGAUGUGAAAAAUUCUUUGCGCUCUGGAGGUACAUUGUACAGUGUGACUCAUAUUGCAAACCACCAGAAGUUGUCACUAUAUAUGAGCAAUAAAAACAUCACACUCCCUGUGGUGAAUCCUCUCUCUAAGCUCGAGAAACCCACACUUCCUCCCUCACUCACGCUCUGCUUGCAUUAAAAAGGUUCCUCCGGAUUCGGAUGUUUCCCUCCCCAGAUGAUGAAGGCAGCUCUCCCAUUAUCACUGUCUUAACUAUAGAGGGCCCCUCCAUGAAUCUGCACUGUGUGUCUAUGUACACACACA